AAAUUGAAGAGUUUGAUCAUGGCUCAGAUUGAACGCUGGCGGCAGGCCUAACACAUGCAAGUCGAACGGUAACAGGAAACAGCUUGCUGUUUCGCUGACGAGUGGCGGACGGGUGAGUAAUGUCUGGGAAACUGCCUGAUGGAGGGGGAUAACUACUGGAAACGGUAGCUAAUACCGCAUAACGUCGCAAGACCAAAGAGGGGGACCUUCGGGCCUCUUGCCAUCGGAUGUGCCCAGAUGGGAUUAGCUAGUAGGUGGGGUAACGGCUCACCUAGGCGACGAUCCCUAGCUGGUCUGAGAGGAUGACCAGCCACACUGGAACUGAGACACGGUCCAGACUCCUACGGGAGGCAGCAGUGGGGAAUAUUGCACAAUGGGCGCAAGCCUGAUGCAGCCAUGCCGCGUGUAUGAAGAAGGCCUUCGGGUUGUAAAGUACUUUCAGCGGGGAGGAAGGGAGUAAAGUUAAUACCUUUGCUCAUUGACGUUACCCGCAGAAGAAGCACCGGCUAACUCCGUGCCAGCAGCCGCGGUAAUACGGAGGGUGCAAGCGUUAAUCGGAAUUACUGGGCGUAAAGCGCACGCAGGCGGUUUGUUAAGUCAGAUGUGAAAUCCCCGGGCUCAACCUCGGGAACUGCAUCUGAUACUGGCAAGCUUGAGUCUCGUAGAGGGGGGUAGAAUUCCAGGUGUAGCGGUGAAAUGCGUAGAGAUCUGGAGGAAUACCGGUGGCGAAGGCGGCCCCCUGGACGAAGACUGACGCUCAGGUGCGAAAGCGUGGGGAGCAAACAGGAUUAGAUACCCUGGUAGUCCACGCCGUAAACGAUGUCGACUUGGAGGUUGUGCCCUUGAGGCGUGGCUUCCGGAGCUAACGCGUUAAGUCGACCGCCUGGGGAGUACGGCCGCAAGGUUAAAACUCAAAUGAAUUGACGGGGGCCCGCACAAGCGGUGGAGCAUGUGGUUUAAUUCGAUGCAACGCGAAGAACCUUACCUGGUCUUGACAUCCACGGAAGUUUUCAGAGAUGAGAAUGUGCCUUCGGGAACCGUGAGACAGGUGCUGCAUGGCUGUCGUCAGCUCGUGUUGUGAAAUGUUGGGUUAAGUCCCGCAACGAGCGCAACCCUUAUCCUUUGUUGCCAGCGGUCCGGCCGGGAACUCAAAGGAGACUGCCAGUGAUAAACUGGAGGAAGGUGGGGAUGACGUCAAGUCAUCAUGGCCCUUACGACCAGGGCUACACACGUGCUACAAUGGCGCAUACAAAGAGAAGCGACCUCGCGAGAGCAAGCGGACCUCAUAAAGUGCGUCGUAGUCCGGAUUGGAGUCUGCAACUCGACUCCAUGAAGUCGGAAUCGCUAGUAAUCGUGGAUCAGAAUGCCACGGUGAAUACGUUCCCGGGCCUUGUACACACCGCCCGUCACACCAUGGGAGUGGGUUGCAAAAGAAGUAGGUAGCUUAACCUUCGGGAGGGCGCUUACCACUUUGUGAUUCAUGACUGGGGUGAAGUCGUAACAAGGUAACCGUAGGGGAACCUGCGGUUGGAUCACCUCCUUACCUUAAAGAAGC
rnacentral:rRNA from 1 species